rnacentral:rRNA from 1 species
CUACGGGUCGCUGCAGUGAGGAAUAUUGCGCAAUGGGGGAAACCCUGACGCAGCGACGCCGCGUGGAUGAUGAAGGCCUUAGGGUCGUAAAAUCCAGUCAGGUGGGAAGAAGUGGAUAUAGAUUAAUACUCUAUUUCUUUGACGGUACCACCAAAGGAAGCACCGGCUAACUCCGUGCCAGCAGCCGCGGUAAUACGGAGGGUGCAAACGUUGUUCGGAAUUACUGGGCGUAAAGCGCGCGUAGGCGGUUUGUUAAGUCAGAGGUGAAAGUCCAUGGCUCAACUAUGGAAGUGCAUUUGAAACUGGCAGACUUGAGUACUGGAGGGGGUGAGGGAAUUCCCGGUGUAGAGGUGAAAUUCGUAGAUAUCGGGAGGAAUACCGGUGGCGAAGGCGAUCACCGGGCCAGAUACUGACACUGAGGUGCGAAAGCGUGGGGAGCAAACAGGAUUAGAUACCCCCGUAGUC